UCUUGCUUGUUUCCAGCAACACAGCAGAGUCCAGCAGAACAGAACAGAAGUAGCGUACUACUAGCAUGGCGCUCGGUGCAGUUGGAGUUCCGUUGUCUCGCCUGUGUCCCUUUCAUGUUAGGUUUUACUUGAGUAUCUGACAGAAGUUAUUUUAUACUAUACGCUGUAAAGAAAACCUAUCUUGGAAGAACAGUAGUAUUUGUCUGACCAAUAAUUCAGAUAAGUAGCUUGUAUAUUCCAGGUGGCUUGCUAACUAGUAACGUUAGCAAGAAAGCAAAAAAAUUCGGAGAUACGGGGCAACAAGAGGAGGAGUCCUGUUUUGGAAGAGCUGAUGCAGAUGCCAUGGCCACAGCCGAGGUAUGGGAGUGACGUGACAGUACUGGUCCUGCUUCCAAACAAAAACCUUAUCAGCAUCAUGUUUUUCUGCUGAAGUAGUGGCAGAGCACACAGAGAAUGGACGAGUCAGUAUUGUUGGAUUUGCUUGAGUGCCCUGUUUGUCUGGAGCGGCUGGAUGCUUCGGCAAAGGUUCUUCCCUGUCAGCACACCUUCUGCCGCAGAUGUCUCCAAGGCAUCCUAGGCUCACGUGGAGAGUUGCGCUGCCCAGAGUGUCGCACGUUGGUGGAGUGUGCUGUUGAUGAACUCCCCAGCAAUAUCCUUCUUGUGCGCCUGUUAGAUGGCAUCAAGCAGAGGCCUCGGAGGGCUGGUCCUGGGGCUGGAGUCUGCACAAAUGGUACAUCUGGAGCCAUGGCCAGAGCACACAGCAGUGGAACCAGGGACCAGGGCACCCCAGGAGCACAACCCCAGCGAGCUCAGGCUAAGAGCACCCUUGUACGGGGUGUACCCCAGCUCCCUUGUGCCAAAGCCCUCUACAACUACGAUGGCAAGGAACCGGGAGACCUCAAGUUCAGCAAGGGUGACGUUAUCAUCCUGCGCCGGCAAGUGGACGAGAACUGGUACCACGGGGAGAUGGGUGGAGUCCAUGGCUUCUUCCCCACCAACUUUGUCCAGGUCAUCAAGCCGCUGCCACAACCACCACCUCAGUGCAAAGCUCUCUAUGACUUUGAGCUCAAAGACAAGGAGGCAGACAAGGACUGCCUGCCCUUCUCCAAGGAUGAUAUCCUGACUGUGAUCCGCAGAGUGGAUGAAAACUGGGCAGAGGGAAUGCUGGGAGAUAAAAUUGGAAUUUUCCCCAUCUCAUAUGUUGAGUUCAACUCGGCAGCUCGUCAGCUUAUAGAGUUGGACAAGCCGUCAGACUCCAGUGGAGACUCUGGUGAGGGGGCCUCCUCGGGGCCCCAGAGCAAUGGUGCCCAGCGUGCAGGGGAGAAGAAGAACAGCAAAAAGCGACAUUCCUUCACCUCUCUCACCAUGUCCCACAAACCCAUGCUAGCUCCUCCCCCCCAGCGCCACUCCAUGGAAAUCAGUGGGCCUGUCCUCAUCAGCUCCAGCAACCCCACAGCAGCUGCCCGAAUUGGAGAGAUCAGCGGGGGGCUUUCCUGCAGCGCACCUUCACAGGUACACAUUUGCACAACUGGACUAAUCGUGACCCCACCCCCUAGUAGUCCAGUUACCACAGCAACGGUCUUCACAUUUCCCUCGGAGACGAGCUACACUUCCAUCACUGUGGAUGCUCUCCCACCACCCCCACCUCCUCCCCCACAGUCCUCCGUUGAUGGAGCAGCAUAUUCAUUGGCUGCCGGACAGAGACCCUCCCCCAGCAUAAGCGACCAAAGUGGGAGACAAAGACCCACAGUCUAUGUGGCUAUGUUCCCCUAUACUCCCCGUAAGGAGGAUGAGCUGGAACUAAGGAAGGGAGAGAUGUUUCUGGUGCUGGAACGCUGUCAGGAUGGCUGGUUCAAGGGCACCUCAAUGCACACAGGCAAGAUUGGAGUCUUCCCUGGGAACUACAUGAGCCCAGUCAGCAGGACAGCCUCAGGGAGCAGCCAGCCCAAAGUGCCCAUGAGUCUGUGCACUCAGGCUGGUAGAGGGGUCACCAUCGUCAGCCCCUCUUCUGCAGCCCUUGGAGCCAUUGUUCCAGGUCCUGAUUUUAACAAAGCCAUCGCCGUGUGCUCCAGCGCUGUACCUGCAAACUCCCAACCUGCAGCUGUGGUAACAGCAGCCCAGACAGCCACAGGUCAACAGCCAAAAAUCCCUCUGCAUGUCAGCUCCCAGAUGACUGUGAAUCAGGCUCGCAAUGCGGUCAGGACAGCUGCGUGCCACAGUCAGGACCGGCCCACAGCAGCUGUGACACCCAUCCAGUCUGCAACACCUGUGGCCUAUCUCCCACACCUUACAGUGUGCCCGCAGCCUUCCUCCAAUCCUGCUCAAUGCUGUUCCCGGGCUGGAGUGGCAAUGGGCUGUGCCGCUGCGUCUCUAACCCCACCCAAUGUUAGUGCUGCAUCUUUGGAGGGUGAUGCUUUGAGACCUGUAGCUGUCUUCACAGUCCCCGGCUCUGGGAACAGCUCUGCUCUCAAUUCCACAUCUAACAGCGCAGCUCUCGCUUGCCGACUGGACAAGGACGUCAAGAGAGAAAAGAAAGGUCUUCUGAAGAUGUUGUCCAAUAAGAAGAAGUCUCGUCCUUCACCACCCUCCUCUCCUACCCUGGAGGCGGAACAAGCUGCUGCAGGAGAGGUACUACAUGGCGCUGUGGGCCCUGACACCUCCCCUCCCUCCGGCUCUGUCAGCUGCCUCGAGCCCGAAACUGCUGCUGCUGCCUUUUCCUCCUCCUCAGCGCCGGAGUCCUCCCAUCGGAAGAGCAGUCCCCUUGAUGGAUGUGCACCUAUUGCUCCUCCUCCUCGCCAGCCAUGCUCCUCUCUCUUAUCUCAACAACACGAUGCACGGCCCAUCAUAUGUGAGAGGUACAGAGUGGUGGUAUCAUAUCCUCCCCAGAGCGAGGCUGAGCUGGAACUUAAGGAGGGCGACAUUGUGUUUGUUCACAGGAAGAGGGAGGACGGCUGGUUCAAAGGCACACUGCAGCGGAACGGCAGGACCGGAUUGUUCCCCGGCAGCUUUGUAGACAGCAUCUAAUACACACGUUAUGGUGAACCAUGGUCAACACCACCACCAUGACCAAGCAGACCGCUGCUCGCCUCGCUACAGUGUGUCAACAUGCUAACCAAACGUGUCAUCGCUUGAAAGGUUGCUAGCACAGGCCCAUCAUAUGGACAUUUUAACUCCUUAGAGCCCACCGUGGCUCUGGCCACUGGAAAAUACCCCGCUAGUGGCACAUGAGAGAGAGCUGCGGUGAAGAACAGAAUACACAGUGGACAGAGUUAGAGGAGAGCACACUACUCAUGAACGUUUCCUUUUUGUUGGUUAUUUAUAUCUUUGUAACAUUUCAGCUGUUAAAUGUGUGCCUUGUACUGUUCCUCACUUUAUUGUACAUAAGGACACAAAGAAGAUAAGUCCUAAAACAACCAGUAUGAGCUGUUGAUAUAGAUAUGUUACACAUUUAACUUAUUUCAUAGAUUGGCCUUUUUGUAGUGCAACACAUUAAGGGGUUAGGCUGGCACAUGCCGUAUGCUACAUUUUCCAACAUCAGUUACACUUUUCUCCCUCUGACUGCUGUUUUACCAUGAUAUCAAACUGUCAGCAGAUAGGAGUAGGUAUAUCAGAUGCACCAGACCAGAACAAAUGAGCAUUGUCAUCAUCAAUUGUGCUGUAGGUAGGAAAAAGGAUACUUCCCCAGCUCUAAAGGCAUUACCUAAACCUGAGGAUCAUAAGAGAUCUGCCGUAUUGCACAUUCGAGCUACAAUUCACAGCCAUGUGAACAUUGCACAUCACAAAAUAUUUCUGUGGGCCAUUCACAGGCCUCCAGUUUGUUUUCCCUGGUGUGGCUGAGGCUGAAGUGCUAAGGACUCCGUUACCUGCAGUGAUCAAAUAUUUGCAUGUGAUGAGCAAAGCCUCCCAUAAGAGACAAAAUGGUGUUACUUGUGUUGCAGGACAGUUUGGUUAUGCCUUUUCAAUAUGUGGAAACCACACUCCAAUAUAGACUUGCAGUCAAACAUUGCUUACUUUGUACCUUCUUUGUAUUUACUGACCAGAGUAGCUUCUCUCCUAACCCCUUUGGCAAUAGCCAAACCCAGACGUAGCUCUACAUUAUAAGAGCAAUGUAACAUUUCAGUAACAGUGCACAACAGGUUAUUUUCAGUGUAUAUUUAUGUUUGUUACAAAUUCCACAGAGGCUGACACCUGCUGCUCUUAAGGAGUCUGUCAUUAAACUAACCUGGACACACAGUAAGGCACACAGGAAACACUCACCCUUCAGCAGGGUCUCAAGUUUUUGUACACUAUGACUCAUUCCUAAUGUGACUUGUGGCAAAAAAAAAACCCACAGCUAGCUAAAGCACAGAAUGUUUGCCUAAAGGAACAUAUUGUAUCACUCCACAGGAAGAGAUGUGUAGUAUAAUUCUGUUGAAUCUCGAAAGAUAAGGUUUUAUUGAAAUCAAUCACUUUGACCCCUUUGAUUUAUUAUUUUUUAUUUUGUGGUUGGGUUUUGUUGUACAUUACGUCUAUACAAAGUUUUUAAUGUUAAAUAUUGUAUUGACUGGAAUGACUGUAAGAUGUAUAUGUGAUUGGAGUGGAUUUGGUCGUAGUAUCAAAUAUCUCAACAUGUAAUUCCUCUUUUCCUAACGUAUUCUCUAAAAGAAUGAAAUUCUUCAAAGUAAAGGUAUUAUUAGGUAACAUAGACUGAGGCCUCCUGCCUCAGUGGACCCCACAAUAUGUAAUGUAAUGUGACUUACACAUCUGAUCUUCAGCCAGUCUUAUGAGGUCUGAGGAUUUAAACACUUUAAAGUUGAGGCAAUCACUGAAUCGUGCCAAAUUUGGCUUUGAAAAUGAAUUUACUGAUUGAAUUAGACCCAUAGUUUGUGUUUUUUUGUAGUCUUUUGUUGUUAAUUGAGGGGGACCACUGUGUAACUGACUGCUGGAAUAUGUUGUACUUUGUUUGAAAUUUGGAGUGUAUGAAAAAGGAUGGUACAAAUCACUGUUAGGGCCUUUUUGUCUUUCUGAAUUGAAUCUGAUGUUGCAUUGUUGUCUUGGCAAUCACCACACCAACCUCAGGCUAUAUGCUAAACUGUUCCUCUGAGUGUCUUUCCAUUUUCACUGGUAAGCCUUUAAUAUACACGUCAGACUUACUCCAACACAGAUGUACACAUGUAUGCACUAUCAUGACAUAUCUAAUCGUACUGACUUUUCAUUAUUAUUGUUCAUGCAUAGGCUGCACAGUUCUCAAAAACAUGAAGCAUUUCUUACAACAGUUAACGAACUAUAUUUUCAUUUAUUGGAACACAUGGCAACAUAAGUUUGCUUGAUUCAACUUAACAGAUUUUCCUCAUGCCAAGGUGACCUACUUGAUUCUUUUUUUGUCUUUAGUUAGUCUGUUGUAUGUCUGAAAAUGGUGAAACUGAAAUCAACCUAUUUGGCACAAAUCUAUUAUGUGAAAAGCAUUCUGAAGUAUUUGAGGGAAUAGCACAUUUUGUUAAAAUCUCUAACAAUAAAAGCUAAUGGUUUCCAUAA